UCGUUGGUGGUGAGCAUAGCUGCUUUCCAAGCAGUUGACCCGGGUUGGAUUCCCGGCCAACACA
rnacentral:tRNA from 1 species